UCCGUGUUAACCACGGCAGUCUGAUGUGAAAUUUAACACAUCAUAAGGGUUGCGCUCGUUACCCCACUGAAGGGAACAGCUCACGCCACGAGCUGACGACAACCGUGCAGCACCUGUCUAGCACCCUCGAAGGCUCCCAACGUUUCUGCCGGGAUGCAGCUAGAUUUCAAGCCCUGGUAAGGUUCCUCGCUUACCAUCGAAUUAAACCACACGCUCCACCGCUUGUGCGGGCCCCCGUCUAUUCCUUUGAGUUUUAGCCUUGCGGCCGUACUACCCAGGCGGUCAACUUAACGCGUUAGCUACGACACUGAGAGGGUCGAUACUCCCAAUGCCUAGUUGACAUCGUUUACGGCGUGGACUA
rnacentral:misc_RNA from 1 species